GGAUAUGAGGGCCAUCUGGCUGCGACAUCUGUCACCCCAUUGAUCGCCAGGGUUGAUUCGGCUGAUCUGGCUGGCUAGGUGGGUGUCCCCUUCCUCCCUCACCCGCUCCAUGUGCGUCCCUCCCGAAGCUGCAUGUUCCGUCGAAGAGGACGGCCUUCCCAGAAUAGACACGGACCGACCGGUCUUCGGUUGAGGGUAUAUGAGUAGCUGUGCUCCCCUGGUAGAACCUCCAAACAAGCUCUCAAGGAGAAGGUCAUAGAAGAGCUGUGGCCUUCAGGAGAGGAGCCAGUC
rnacentral:snRNA from 1 species